CGGCCCCCCGGGACCAAAGGGAGAAAAGGUUAUUCAGCUAUAUUUUUUAUAUUUUGAAUAAUAAUCUCAGUCUAAAUGCCAUAUUUGAGUUACAUAUAAUGCUUAAAAUUCUAUCCAAUAUAUGCAAAUAUGUCUUUUUUACAAAACUAGUUUUUUUUAACAGAGUUAAAAAGGGAAAUAGUGUUAGAAUCUGAGUUUGACUGAUUAUGUGUAUUUUUCAGGGUUACCCAGGAGAAGACAGUAAAAUGGCAGGACCGCCCGGGCCCUUAGGUGAACCAGUAGGUCUUAAUUUCCUUUAACUUCCUGUUUUUGUCCAACACCUGGACUGAAAUCAGUAAAUAAAGAGGCAGUGACAUUUACAUCACUUUAUUGAAGAAAUAAGACAACAUAUCAGUUUUUUGUGUGCAUAUAGGGCACUCCAGGAGAGAAGGGUGAACGUGGGGAACCGGGAGAUUACGGAUAUCAGGGUCAUGCAGGGGUCACAGGUGCCCGUGGAGCGAUCGGUCAGCAGGGAUCUCCUGGAUCUCCUGGGCUUCCUGGUGAAGCAGGACCCAUAGGCGAGAAGGGAGUUCAGGUUUGUGACUAGCACACCACUUACACUAUUUAUGCUGUGUGUAGUUCAUAUACUGUGUGCAGUUUGUGACUUUUUUUUCUGUCUGCAUGAAAUACCUGGGGCCAGACUUACAAAAAUCUUCUUAAGAUAGUUAAUAAAAUUUGUUAAGAUAAAUUCCACAAAGUUCAUAAGAUUGUUUUGAAGUGCAUCUUCCGAGUAAACGCCUCCGGUAUGUGUGACUACUGAAUGUGGGGCUAUCCUAACUUUAAUCUUUAAGAAGAUUCUUUUCAAGAAUUAGAAUUCUUCUUAAGUUUUGUCUUAAGAAAAAUCAAAAAAAAAAAAACUCAGAACAUUCUUAAGAAGAAUUUUGAUGUGCUAAAAUAACUAAAACUGAAACUGAAUGAAAAACGAAUAAAACGUAU
rnacentral:lncRNA from 1 species